AAUAUAUGGAUAAUUCUACAGAGCUCAUCAUAGCAGAGGAAGAAGAGAAGAGAAUAGUCUCUCUUCGAUUUCAGAGCUAAAAAGCUUGAAACCAAGAUUUCAAUGGCGGUUUCUUCAGUAUCUGCAACCUUAAUCCCUUCUCUUUCUCUCUCUACUUCCUCUUCUUCUUCAUUUAAACCAAAGCUUUCUCCUUUUUCUUUACACUUUGCUAACUCCUCCGCUAAGCUCAGAACUGUAAAACCUUCACAGUCCUCAACUAGGGUUUAUGCUGCUCCUGAAGUGUUGGAACCCCCUCCAGAAACAUUAGAUGAGUCUGGUGCCGAGACCCUUGAGGUUGGAGGUUCUGAUAUAUAUAUAUAUAUGGAGGAGGUUCUAAUGGUUACAUUUUUAAUGUAACCAUCGUGGUUACAUUUUUUUUAGCCAUCACUAUUAAAUGGGCAAAAAGGUUAAAGUUCCAAUAUUCCUUGUCCCAGCUACCCAAAAGGUGUGGAUGGACUUAUAUAGUCUUCUAAAUUUUUAUCAAUCUGUAAAAGAUUUAAAAAAUCACUCUAAACAACUACAUCAGGAUCAAUCCAUUCAUGGUUAACAUCUUCAAUGUCAUGCUCAAUUCCACUGUUACUCAUGUCAGAGACAUCUUCUUCGCAUUUCUUUUUCACAAAACUCAUGAAAUGAAAAAAAUUAUCUUCAUCUUCGGACAAAUUUGCUAUAGGUUCUAUGUUUUUGUUGUCAAAUAUUUUCGAUGUAAGUGUGGUGGAGAGUGAAUGAAAGAGGAUAAAUGCGA